rnacentral:rRNA from 1 species
GAUGAACGCUGGCGGCGGGCCUAACACAUGCAAGUCGAGCGGAGCGGCGGAAGGGUGAGUAAUGCCUAGGAAUCUGCCUGGUAGUGGGGGAUAACGUCCGGAAACGGGCGCUAAUACCGCAUACUAGCAGAUGAGCCGAGGUCGGAUUAGCUAGUUGGUGGGGUAAAGGCCUACCAAGGGGACGAUCCGUAACUGGUCGGAGAGGAUGAUCAGUCACACUGGAACUGAGACACGGUCCAGCCUCCCACUGGAGGCAGCAGUGGGGAAUAUUUGACAAUGGGCGAAAGCCUGAUCCAGCCAUGCCGCGUGUGUGAAGAAGGUCUUCGGAUUGUAAAGCACUUUAAGUUGGGAGGCGUUACCAACAGAAUAAGCACCGGCUAACUUCGUGCCAGCAGCCGCGGUAAUUC